GACGAACGCUGGCGGCGUGCUUAACACAUGCAAGUCGAACGGAAAGGCCCUGCUUUUGUGGGGUGCUCGAGUGGCGAACGGGUGAGUAACACGUGAGUAACCUGCCCUUGACUUUGGGAUAACUUCAGGAAACUGGGGCUAAUACCGGAUAGGAGCUCCUGCUGCAUGGUGGGGGUUGGAAAGUUUCGGCGGUUGGGUAUGGACUCGCGGCUUAUCAGCUUGUUGGUGGGGUAGUGGCUUACCAAGGGUUUGACGGGUAGCCGGCCUGAGAGGGUGACCGGCGACAUUGGGACUGAGAUACGGCCCAGACGCCUACGGGAGGCAGCAGUGGGGAAUAUUGCACAAUGGGCGGAAGCCUGAUGCAGCAACGCCGCGUGCGGGAUGACGGCCUUCGGGUUGUAAACCGCUUUCGCCUGUGACGAAGCGUGAGUGACGGUAAUGGGUAAAGAAGCACCGGCUAACUACGUG
rnacentral:rRNA from 1 species